rnacentral:rRNA from 1 species
CCCAUACGAUCUAUGGAUGAAAGCGGGGGAUCGCAAGACCUCGCGCGAUUGGAGCGGCCGAUAUCAGAUUAGGUAGUUGGUAGGGUAAAGGCCUACCAAGCCAACGAUCUGUAGCUGGUCUGAGAGGACGACCAGCCACACUGGAACUGAGACACGGUCCAGACUCCUACGGGAGGCAGCAGUGGGGAAUUUUGGACAAUGGGCGAAAGCCUGAUCCAGCCAUUCCGCGUGCAGGAUGAAGGCCCUCGGGUUGUAAACUGCUUUUGUACAGAACGAAAAGGUUUCUAUUAAUACUAGGAGCUCAUGACGGUACUGUAAGAAUAAGCACCGGCUAACUACGUGCCAGCAGCCGCGGUAAUAC